GGCUCUGUGGCGCAAUGGAUAGCGCAUUGGACUUCUAGGUUAAUGGAGGUAAUCAAAGGCUGUGGGUUCGAAUCCCACCAGAGUAA
rnacentral:tRNA from 1 species